CCACUGCCAAUGUCCCAGUCCCUGGAGAGGUCUCACCUCUCACCUAGAUGCACUCAGGGCCUAUCAGACUUUAGCAGAUGUUUUGUCCACUUGAGUUCCUUCCCUAUUGCUGUGGUCUCAGUUCUCAGUGCCUGUUUGAUCACCAGUUCUCUUGGAGGAACAGACAAGGAGCUGAGACUAACAGCUGGCAAAGACAAGUGUACUGGGAGAGUGGAGGUGAAAAUCCAGGAGGAGUGGGGAACUGUGUGUAAUAAUGGCUGGGACAUGGAUGAGGUCUCUGUGAUUUGUAGGCAGCUAGGAUGUCCAACUGUUAUCAAAGCCCCUGGAUGGGCUAAUUCUAGUGCAGGCUCGGGACGCAUUUGGAUGGAUCAUGUUUCUUGUCGAGGGAAUGAAUCAGCUCUCUGGGAUUGCAAACAUGAUGGAUGGGGAAAGCAUAACUGCACUCACCAACAGGAUGCUGGAGUAACCUGUUCAGAUGGAUCCAGUUUGGAGAUGAGGCUGAGGAAUGGAGGACACAGGUGUUCAGGAAGAAUAGAGGUCAAAUUCCAAGGACAAUGGGGAACAGUAUGUGAUGAUAACUUUAGCUUGGAUCAUGCUUCUGUGGUUUGUAAACAACUUGAAUGUGGAAGUGCUGUCAGUUUCUCUGGUUCAGCUAAUUUUGGAGAAGGUUCUGGACCAAUCUGGUUUGAUGAUCUUGUAUGCAAUGGAACUGAGUCAGCUCUCUGGAACUGCAAACACGAAGGAUGGGGAAAGCAUAACUGUGAUCAUGCUGAGGAUGUUGGAGUGAUUUGCUUAGAAGGAGCAGAUCUGAACCUGAGAGUGGUGGAUGGAGUCACUGAAUGUUCGGGAAGAUUAGAAGUGAAAUUCCAAGGAGAAUGGGGGACAGUUUGUGAUGACGGCUGGGAUAGUAGUGAUGCUGCUGUGGCAUGUAAGCAACUGGGAUGUCCAACUGACGUCACUGCCAUUGGUCGAGUUAAUGCCAGUGAGGGAACUGGACGCAUUUGGCUUGACAGUGUUGCCUGCCAAGGACAUGAAUCUGCUCUCUGGAAGUGUAAACACAAUGAAUGGGGAAAGCAUUAUUGCAAUCACAAAGAAGAUGCUGGUGUGAUGUGUUCUGAUGGAUCAGAUCUGGAACUGAGACUUAUAGGUGGAGGCAGCCGCUGUGCUGGGGCAGUGGAGGUGGAAAUUCAGAAACUGUUUGGGAAAGUAUGUGACAGAAGCUGGGGACUGAAAGAAGCUGAUGUGGUUUGCAGGCAGCUGGGAUGUGGAUCUGCACUCAAAACAUCCUAUCAAAUUUAUUCCAAAAUUAAGACAACAAACACUUGGCUAUUUUCAGGCAGCUGUGAUGGAAACGAAACUUCUUUUUGGGACUGCAAGAAUUGGCAAUGGGGUGGACUUACCUGUGAUCCCUAUGCAGAAGCCAAAAUUACCUGCUCAGCCCACAGGGAACCCAGACUGGUUGGAGGGGACAUUCCCUGCUCUGGUCGUGUUGAAGUGAAACAUGGCGACACAUGGGGCUCCAUCUGUGAUUCUGACUUCUCUCUGGAAGCUGCUCAUGUGCUGUGCAGGGAAUUACAAUGUGGCACAGUCGUCUCUAUCCUGGGGGGAGCUCAUUUUGGAGAAGGAAAUGGACAGAUCUGGGCUGAAGAAUUCCAGUGUGAGGGGCACGAGUCCCAUCUUUCACUCUGCCCGGUAGCACCCCGCCCAGAGGGGACCUGUAGCCACAGCCGGGACGUUGGAGUAGUCUGCUCAAGAUACACAGAAAUCCGCUUGAUGAAUGGCAAGUCUGCAUGUGAGGGAAGAGUGGAGCUCAAGAUUCUUGGGACAUGGGGAUCCCUCUGCAAUUCUCACUGGGACAUGGAAGAUGCCCAUGUUUUUUGCCAGCAGCUUAAAUGUGGAGUUGCCCUUUCUACCCAAGGAGGAGCACAUUUUGGGAAAGGAAGUGGUCAGGUCUGGAGGCACAUGUUUCACUGCACUGGGACUGAGAAGCACAUGGGAGAUUGUCCUGUAACUGUUCUGGGUGCAUCGCUAUGUUCUGCAGGGCAAGUGGCCUCUGUAAUCUGCUCAGGAAACCAGAGUCAUACGCUAUCUCCAUGCAAUUCAUCAUCUCCAGACCCAACAAGCUCUACCAUUUCAGAAGAAAGUGCUGUUGCCUGCAUAGGGAGCGGUCAACUUCGCCUGGUAAAUGGAGGCGGUCGCUGUGCCGGGAGAAUAGAGAUCUAUCAUGAGGGCUCCUGGGGCACCAUCUGUGAUGACAGCUGGGACCUGAGUGAUGCCCAUGUGGUGUGUAGACAGCUGGGCUGUGGAGUGGCCAUUAAUGCUACUGGUUCUGCUUAUUUUGGGGAAGGAACAGGGCCCAUCUGGCUAGACGAGGUGGACUGUAAUGGAAAAGAAUCUCAUAUUUCGCAAUGCCCUUCACAUGGCUGGGGACGGCACAAUUGCAGGCACAAGGAGGAUGCAGGAGUUAUCUGCUCAGAGUUCAUGUCUCUGAGACUGAUCAAUGAAAACAGCAGAGAGACCUGUGCAGGGCGUCUGGAAGUUUUUUACAGUGGAGCCUGGGGCAGCGUUGGCAAGAGUAACAUAUCUGACAUCACUGUGGGGGUGGUAUGCAGGCAGCUGGGCUGUGCAGACAAGGGGACCAUUAGCCCUGCAUCUUUACACAAGACAACGUCCAGGCAGAUGUGGGUGGACAAUGUUCAGUGUCCGAAAGGACCUGAUACAUUAUGGCAGUGCCCAUCGUCUCCAUGGAAGCAGAGAAUGGCCAGCCCCUCAGAGGAGAUCUGGAUCACAUGUGACAACAAGAUAAGACUUGAAGAAGGAAACACUACUUGUUCUGGACGUGUGGAGAUCUGGCACGAAGGUUCCUGGGGGACAGUGUGUGAUGACUCUUGGGACUUUAACGAUGCUCAGGUGGUGUGUCGACAGCUGGGAUGUGGCCCAGCUUUGGAGGCACUAAAAGAGGCGGCGUUUGGUCAAGGGACUGGGCCCAUAUGGCUCAAUGAAGUGAAGUGCACAGGGAAUGAGUCUUCUUUGUGGGAUUGUCCUGCCCGAUCCUGGGGGCACAGUGACUGUGGGCACAAGGAAGAUGCUGCUGUGAGGUGCUCAGUACCUGAAAAAGAAUCAUCAAAUGCCACAGGUCACUCAUUCCUUGUUAUACUUGGGAUUCUCGGGGUAAUUCUGUUGGCCUUUCUCAUCGCACUUCUCCUGUGGACUCAGAAGCGAAGACGGAGACAGCGGCUUACAGUUUCCUCAAGAGGAGAGAAUUCUGUCCACCAAAUUCAAUAUCGGGAGAUGAAUUCUUGCCUGAAGGCAGAUGAUCUGGACCUGCUGAAUUCCUCAGAGGACCAUUGAGGUACACUGAGGUAUACUGAAAAGGAAAAUGGGAAUCUAUUACCCAGUGAGUUCAGCCUUUAUGAUACUGUGAUGAAGAAUGGACUAUUGAAUGGACCAAGAAUCCACCUCGUUCACUGAAGACUACAGUCCUUUGUCUCCUAGUAUUCCAAAGACCACUGCUGAAUUUAUAAAAAUUAAACAGUGAAUGUGACUACUAAGAGCUGUGUAUAAGACUUUCAAGGGGGUUAAACAAAAAGAAAUAUUGUUAAUUUGAAUUUGUCUUAAACUUGUUCUUGAUUUUAUGAAUUUGUGAAUGGGCUUUCUGACUUCUUUAGGGUUUCCAAAAUAUAAUAUGAUGACUUUUCAUUUGAUAAUAUUUUCAUUUGCAUAUAAUAUAUAUUUUUCUAGUUUGGUUUAAAUAAUAGUUUUCUUCUUAUUACCAAAUAAAAACAAAUUUAUUUUUCCUUUAGUUUUCUUAAGAAAGGGAAAGUUAAUGAUUAUUGAAUGGUUUGUUAAUAAUAUAUGGUUAUCUCUGAAAGGCGUGACUCUCAUUGGUUCUUUAACCAAAAAUUAUCUAAUCAUUUAUUCUUUCAUUCAACAAAACUUACUGACCACCUACUGUUUGUCAGCUACUGUGCAUUAAAUACCCAACUAUAUGCCAUGUACUGUGCACCCAAUUAUAUCAGGUAUUAUAUAUGUGUGUAAAUAUAUAUAAAUCUCCAAUUACAAUAUACACACCUAGGAACCCCACCUAUAUGAUAAUUAACAUGAAUCUUUUUGUUCAUAUUUUAAAGUGACAUAUUCUAUAUUUUAUAUUUUGU